AGUGAACGCUGGCGGCAGGCCUAACACAUGCAAGUCGAACGGCAGCACAGUAAGAGCUCGCUCUUACGGGUGGCGAGUGGCGGAUGGGUGAGGAAUACAUCGGAAUCUACUUUUUCGUGGGUGAUAACGUAGGGACACUUACGCUAAUACCGCAUACGACCUACGGGUGAAAGCAGGGGAUCUUCGGACCUUGCGUGAUUCUAUGAGCCGAUGUCGGAUUAGCUAGUUGGCGGGGUAAAGGCCCACCAAGGCGACGAUCCGUAGCUGGUCUGAGAGGAUGAUCAGCCACACUGGAACUGAGACACGGUCCAGACUCCUACGGGAGGCAGCAGUGGGGAAUAUUGGACAAUGGGCGAAAGCCUGAUCCAGCCAUGCCGCGUGGGUGAAGAAGGCCUUCGGAUUGUAAAGCCCUUUUGUUGGGAAAGAAAAGCAGCAGGUUAAUACCCCGCUGUUCUGACGGUACCCAAAGAAUAAGCACCGGCUAACUUCGUG
rnacentral:rRNA from 1 species